AUGCCUCCCAAGCGCAAGUCCCCGGUUGCGACGGCGGCGGCCCCCGCAAUGCCGCCUAGGAUGACCCGGAGCAUGGCCGCCGGGAAGCGGGGCGCCGACGCUCCGGCCAAAAAGGAGGAAGCACAGGCGGCGCCGGCGGCGGCCGCGGAGAAGGGGAGGAAGAAGGCCAAGAAGGAGGUGUCUGCGGUGGCGAAGGAGGUGGAGACGGUACUGUCGCCUCCUGCAGCGCCCAAGCAGAAGGUGAAAAAAAAUGCCAAGAAGGAGGUGGUGGCGGGCGGUGCCGGCGCUGAAAACGGGAAGCGCGUCAUCGUCGAGGCUUGCACCCAGUGCCAACAGUUCAAGAGAAGAGCUUUAAAGGUGAAGGAGGAUCUUGAAAGUGCUGUCCCUGGGGUUUCUGUGACAAUCAACCCUGAAAAGCCACGCCGUGGAUGCCUCGAGAUACGGGAGGAAGGUGGUGAUGUGUUCAUUUCACUGCUGAACAUGCCACGGCCCUUCAACAAGAUGAGGGAGCUCGACAUGGACAAGGUUACCAAGGACAUUGCCCAGAAAAUUGCUUGA
rnacentral:rRNA from 1 species